rnacentral:rRNA from 1 species
UACGAAGGGGGCGAGCGUUGUUCGGAUUUACUGGGCGUAAAGGGCGCGUAGGCGGCCCUCCUUGUCGCGUGUGAAAGCCCCGGGCUCAACCUGGGAAUUGCGCGCGAAACGGGCGGGCUUGAGUUCGGGAGAGGAGCGUGGAAUUCCCAGUGUAGAGGUGAAAUUCGUAGAUAUUGGGAAGAACACCGGUGGCGAAGGCGGCGCUCUGGACCGAGACUGACGCUGAGGCGCGAAGGCCAGGGGAGCAAACAGG